rnacentral:rRNA from 1 species
CAGUAGCCGCGGGAAUACAGAGGGUGCGAGCGUUAAUCGGAUUUACUGGGCGUAAAGCGUGCGUAGGCGGCUUCUUAAGUCGGAUGUGAAAUCCCUGAGCUUAACUUAGGAAUUGCAUUCGAUACUGGGAAGCUAGAGUAUGGGAGAGGAUGGUAGAAUUCCAGGUGUAGCGGUGAAAUGCGUAGAGAUCUGGAGGAAUACCGAUGGCGAAGGCAGCCAUCUGGCCUAAUACUGACGCUGAGGUACGAAAGCAUGGGGAGCAAACAGGAUUAGAUACCCCAGUAGUCCCUGUCUCUUAUAA